GCCGCUGAGUCCGCUCACUGCUCGGGUAUGAUUCGUUCUUGCAUGCGCUUGAUCGAUCCCUUCGAUACCCAUUAGACUGGAGGAAAAGGAUCAGCGCAAAACGGAACCACAGCAGGCGGACCAGGGGAAGACUUAACCAUUUGAUUUGUUUCAACAUAUUUGCGCAAGUUUGGGUCUUUGAUUUGAAUGCCAGAAGCCAUAUCUUAAUACCAUUCUCGGCCAGUAGAACGCCUUGGAGAGAUCAAUGGGAUUGCGAAUCUGCUACACCUGGGCUCCCAUUGUUGACACAUGCACUUGCUAUCACUUUAAAAGCAGUGUUUGUGUUUUUUUUUUCUUCUUUGCCUGGGAUUCCACUAUGACUCUCUGUGUAUAUCUGGUUAAAAAGUUGUGUAAUUUUAGGUUGUUGGAAUACUGUCUUUUGUACAUACCUCCACUGACUCAUUUAUAGUUAUAAAUGCCCACCCCUUACUUAGUUGUGAUGUUGGUUUUCAAUUUUCAGCUUUGAAAGUUUUCAAAUGCAAGAUAUCUGAUAUUAGAACUGAGCUUCGAUUAGCUCAGAGUGCUUUUCUGUUUGUUAUCUUUACAAUUCAGAAAUGUGGUUCAAAGAUGCAAAAAUUUUAGUUCCCAGCUGGUUGAAAUAGAUUCUAAAAGAACCUACCGAGUACUGUAAAUAAAUAGCUCAAGUGUGUAGGGAUUGUUGUCUUUGGUAGUGAUACCAAGGAGGUUAACCAACGCCUUAUUAUGUCUCAGUUUCCAAAUUGUUUUGUGUUACAAAUAUGAUUAUGACAUUAUGAAGUUUAUUAACUGGUCAGGUUUUACUAUUUAAAAUGAUAUUUUAAAUGCUAAUAAAAUGGAAGCAUUGGAGAAUUGAAUGCUGUUGAGACAAUUGUUUAAAACUCUUUUCUGUUCUCAGGUUGUCAUGUUGUUUUUCUUUUCUAAUUACAUUGAUUUUGCUUCCAAGUUUCAUUAAACUCGAUCUCUAAGUUUUGGUUUGUUGCUUUUUAGUUUCUUGGUAAGUAUUAUCAUUUGUUCCAAUUGCUUUUUGGUUAGUUGGGUGAAUUGUAGUCGAGCAGAACAUCGAAGAUUCAUAUCUUUGUUUGAUUCAAAUUAUUUGCUGAGAAAAUGGAUUUACGAUUUGACAAAAAAAAACAACCUGUUAGUUUUGUGGUCUGUGAUUAAUUGAGAGCCUUGAUUUCAAGAUCUAUUGGUUAACAGUACUGAUCUGCUCUUCUUGAUUGCUUUUUUAAGAAGAAUAUAUUCUGAUGUUUUCCAAUUUAAUUUGAGCUUGGCUUUUGAACUACAAUUAUGGCACCUAAACUGAAGAUGACAAAAAAAAGAAGGCUCUCAGAAGGUGAUCAUAGCUCAGCAGAUUUGUGUCGUGCUGCAAGUUAUAAUGAAAGUUUAUCAAGUGAGGGGAAUAUGCGAGAAAUAAAGAAUGAUCAGACUUUUGUUGCGUCUAUAGCAGAAAGUUCAUUUUACGACGACAGCACACAUGAUCAAAUCAUGGCAAGAACAGGUCAGUUUCCUCUGAAGUUUCAAGUGAUCUCAUAAUUCAAGUGAAGGGAAGCAGAUAUUUUCUUUACAAGUAUGUCACAGUCCACCUAUCAAAUACUUUGAGGCUGAGGCUCUGCUUUGAAUAUGUAGAAACUUAUAAUCCAACUGCAUGAUUUUCCGAGUGAAGUUGCGGCAUUCGGGCACGGCACAAAAUUUUGCCAUGGAAUCACAAUCACCCUCAGUGCCAUUGUAGCUGUUAGCAGUGGUGCGGGGUUCUUGGAUGAUUGAGGAAGUCGAGAAGGGAAACUUGAUAUAUAAUCUUGAGGUGUUCAACGACUCUUGCAUACUCCAUGGCUGGAGGGAAGCAAUUGCCACUCUUUAAAGCACAAAGUUGACGGCCUUUCAGAUCAAUACACAAAUGAGCUUCGAGGUUGUUGUACGAAAUGUGUUCAGAAAAUAUCUGUAGAAACUGAGAACCUGAUUUGAUUAUCGUUAGUUGUUAGUUCACAUCGUAGUUAUGUAUGCUAAUCAAACACUUAAAAACAUAAGAAAUUUAGUGAACAUAACGUAUAAAUUCUACCCCGCGCCAUCGCGCGGGUUCUCAUUCCUGGUG